AGUGAACGCUGGCGGUAGGCCUAACACAUGCAAGUCGAACGGCAGCACAGUAAGAGCUUGCUCUUACGGGUGGCGAGUGGCGGACGGGUGAGGAAUACAUCGGAAUCUACUUUUUCGUGGGGGAUAACGUAGGGAAACUUACGCUAAUACCGCAUACGACCUACGGGUGAAAGCAGGGGAUCUUCGGACCUUGCGCGAUUGAAUGAGCCGAUGUCGGAUUAGCUAGUUGGCGGGGUAAAGGCCCACCAAGGCGACGAUCCGUAGCUGGUCUGAGAGGAUGAUCAGCCACACUGGAACUGAGACACGGUCCAGACUCCUACGGGAGGCAGCAGUGGGGAAUAUUGGACAAUGGGCGCAAGCCUGAUCCAGCCAUACCGCGUGGGUGAAGAAGGCCUUCGGGUUGUAAAGCCCUUUUGUUGGGAAAGAAAAGCAGCAGGUUAAUACCCCGCUGUUCUGACGGUACCCAAAGAAUAAGCACCGGCUAACUUCGUGCCAGCAGCC
rnacentral:rRNA from 1 species